UACAGAGGUCUCAAGCGUUGUUCGGAUUCAUUGGGCGUAAAGAGCGUGUAGGCGGCCAGGUAGGUCGGUUGUGAAAACUGGAGGCUCAACCUUCAGAGGUCGACCGAAACCAUCUGGCUAGAGUCCGGGAGAGGAGAGUGGAAUUCCUGGUGUAGCGGUGAAAUGCGCAGAUAUCAGGAAGAACACCCGUGGCGAAGGCGGCAUCCUGGACCAUGACUGACGCUGAGGAGCGAAAGCCAGGGGAGCAAACAGG
rnacentral:rRNA from 1 species